AAGCACCGGUAAAACACAGCACUAUCCGGGCGGGGCCGCUAGGCUGGGCUUCCUUGUCCACUGGAGAUAAAAUAUUACAGCGUGCAGGGUCUUAAUGUGAGAGGAGACCAGAGUACCCAGAGAAAACCCACAUGGUCAGGCAGGUGAGCCCAUACCUUUUCCCGCCUGAUUGGGGAAUUGAACCCCGGCAGCCUUGGUGAAAGGCGAGUGUGUUAUCCACUGGGCCACCCGACCACCCAAACAAAGAGCAGUGUUAUUAAACAAUCAGGAAGUAAAUCAAACCUGUAAUGGCAGCUGAUUGGUCAGGAUAGAACCAAUGAGAUUAGUGGCAUCUCCCAGGGU